rnacentral:rRNA from 1 species
AUUGAACGCUGGCGGCAUGCUUUACACAUGCAAGUCGAACGGCAGCACGGGCUUCGGCCUGGUGGCGAGUGGCGAACGGGUGAGUAAUGCAUCGGAACGUACCGUGUAAUGGGGGAUAACGUAGCGAAAGUUACGCUAAUACCGCAUACGCCCUGAGGGGGAAAGCGGGGGAUCGUAAGACCUCGCGUUAUACGAGCGGCCGAUGUCGGAUUAGCUAGUUGGUGGGGUAAAGGCCUACCAAGGCGACGAUCCGUAGCGGGUCUGAGAGGAUGAUCCGCCACACUGGGACUGAGACACGGCCCAGACUCCUACGGGAGGCAGCAGUGGGGAAUUUUGGACAAUGGGCGCAAGCCUGAUCCAGCCAUGCCGCGUGAGUGAAGAAGGCCUCGGUUGUAAGUACUCUUUCUAGACGGAAAGAAAGUACGCGCG